rnacentral:rRNA from 1 species
GACAGAGGUGCCGAGCGUUAGGCGGAAUCACUGGGCUUAAAGCGUGUGUAGGCGGACUUCUAAGUCCCUUGUGAAAUCCCACGGCUCAACCGUGGAACUGCUUGGUAUACUGGUCGUCUUGAGCCAUCUAGGGGCUGUCGGAACAAAUGGUGGAGCGGUGAAAUGCGUAGAUAUCAUUUGGAACGCCAAUGGUGAAAACAACUUGCUGGGGGUGUGCUGACGCUGAGACACGAAAGCCAGGGGAGCAAACGGG